rnacentral:rRNA from 1 species
CCUACGGGAGGCAGCAGUGGGGGAUAUUGCACAAUGGGGGGAACCCUGAUGCAGCGACGCCGCGUGGGUGAAGAAGCGCCUCGGCGCGUAAAGCCCUGUCAGCAGGGAAGAAAAGGACGGUACCUGAAGAAGAAGCCCCGGCUAACGACGUGCCAGCAGCCGCGGGAAAACGGAGCGGGCAAGCGUCACCCGGAUUUACUGGGUGUAAAGGGGGCGCAGACGCCGAGGCAAGCCAGGAGUGAAAGCCCGGGGCCCAACCCCGGGACUGCUCUUGGAACGGCGUGGCUGGAGUGCCGGACGGGCCGGCGGAAUUCCUGGUGUAGCGGUGAAAUGCGUCGCUAUCAGGAGGAACACCGGUGGCGAAGGCGGCCUGCUGGACUGCAACUUACGUUGCGGCCCGAAAGCGUGGGGCGCACACAGGAUUAGAUACCCUAGUAGUC